CUUCACUGUAGGCUGAUAUUGGGUCUAGGUAUCUUUUGUGUAGGAUAGGUGGGAGGCUAUGAACCUGGAGCGCCAGCUCCGGGGGAGCCAACGUUGAAAUACCACCCUGAAGCUACUUGGAUUCUAACGCCUUGGUCUGAAUCGACCGGGCGGAAAGUGUCAGUUGGGCAGUUUGACUGGGGCGGUCUCCUCCAAAAGAGUAACGGAGGAGCCCAAUGGUACCCUCAGCCUGGUUGGCAAUCAGGCGGCGAGCGUAAAGGUAUAAGGGUGCUUGACUGUGAGACGUAUAGGUCGAACAGAGACGAAAGUCGGGCUUAGUGAUCCGGCGGUGCUGGAUGGAAAGGCCGUCGCUCAACAGAUAAAAGGUA
rnacentral:rRNA from 1 species